rnacentral:lncRNA from 1 species
CUGGUAAUUACAAAUACGGAAAAAAAUAAAAUUGCAUAAUACUUCACGCUUGCGCAAAAUAAAAAAAAUUAACAUAAGAACCAAAGUACUGAUAUUCCUAUGGGAAUUAAACAAAGAAAAAUAAAUCCACCAAUUUUUAAUAACUUUUUAACGCUUGAAAUAGGAUUGUUUGUUUUCAUCGUAUGUUGAUUUCAUUGUGAAUACAAGACUUAUCCCAUAGUUGACAGAAUGUCAACCGCAUCUGACAGUAAUUUUAUUAUCAACACCAACUGGCAAUAAAAAAGAGGAAAUGCUUGGUGCUAGACUCCACGCCAUGUUUAUUUUACAUUAACUCUUGGUGACGCGGAUUAAUAUUUUGUUUUCAGAAAAGAUUACAAUCGAAAAUAUUCCAGGGAAGAUUUCGUGCUUGGCCAAACGAAUUACCUGAUUUUUAGGGCAAUUAUUUCUAUUAUUUCUUGGAAAACAAAGUCGAAAGAUUUGGUAAACUCGUAGCAUGCUUAUUUUCAAUGAGAAAUUCAUUGUAUUCACUUGAAUCCCCUUUGAUCUUUAAAUAAGUAUUUUGUCUUUAACUAACUUACAUUGGUAUAAUUUUUUGCUACUCUCAUAUUAGCAAUGUUGUGGUUUCGGAUUGUUGCGAAUCGUCAUUCUUUUCUUGGCUCCAUGCUAUUCGUGAGUGGUUCUUUUUGGUCUUUUCAUCAUCUCUUUUCAUUACAUCAACAUUUCAUCACAUCACCUUUAGAAUUUAAAAAAGUAUCCAUGAGUCCAGGAAAUCAUGUUAAGGGCUUGAGUUAUGUAAAUUGCCAGGAUUUGUUAGCAGAUAUUCAGUCCUCAUAAACAGCGGUUUACCAAAUUAUUGCAGACAAAAAAUUGCCGUCGAUAUUUUAUGCUUCGGCGCCAAUUCAAU